rnacentral:rRNA from 1 species
AUUGAACGCUGGCGGCAGGCCUAACACAUGCAAGUCGAGCGGAGCGGCGGACGGGUGAGUAAUGCCUAUGAAUCUGCCUCGUAGUGGGGGAUAACGUUCGGAAACGGGCGCUAAUCCCGCAUACUAUCAGUCUAGCCUAGGUCGGAGUAGAUAGUUGGUGGGGUAAAGGCCUACCAAGGCGACGAGCCGUAACUGGUCUGAGAGGAUGAUCAGUCACACUGGAACUGGAACACGGUCCAGACUCCUACGGGAGGCAGCAGUGGGGAAUAUUGGACAAUGGGCGAGAGCCUGAUCCAGCCAGGCCGCGUGUGUGAAGAAGGUCUUCGGGUUGUAAAGCACUUUAAGUUGGGAGGCGUUACCAACAGAAUAAGCACCGGCUAACUUCGUGCCAGCAGCCGCGGUAAUAC